rnacentral:lncRNA from 1 species
GUAUUAGUCCAUUUCACACUAGACUAGACAAGAAUACGAUUUAAAUUCUCGAUCACUUAAGCCUAUCAAAAUAGAUAAUAUAUAUUAACAUAUGUAAUCCUUGCGUCAUUCCAUUUUAUUUAGAAUUGAAAAUAGAAAUUGACGUAUAAUUUUAAAAUUAAUGAAAAAAUGGUAUAAAAGAUCGUGAUAAACAGUUUCUACAGAUAGAGGGGAAUAAAGAUAAUGAACAGGUUUUUGAAGGUAAAAGAGAAUAACUAACAACUUUUUCCUUUCUCCUAUUAUCAAAUUUGAUGAUGAAAGCUACCAAAGAAAGCCAACAAAAAUGCAUUAAGAAAAUGGGAAGAGAAAAGAUUUGGUGGUAGACAAAACUCAAAGAUAAGACACUUUGUAAGAACACGACAACUGAGAUGAAUGGUUCCAAUUAACCAACUAAAUUUCAUAAUCGAUUGCUAUCCAAAUGUUUUGUUCAAAUUGUCAAUUAAAAUUGAAAGAAGCCAUGCCCAAAACUAUUCUUUCGAAGUUCAUUUUACAUGGAAUAUACACUGUUGAAUGAAAAGACAGUAAUAGUGGUAAUAUAUAGAAGAAUCUGAUUCAAUGGAGGUAGCAAUUGUACCUCUAAAAAAUAUAUUCUUGCUCCCUCUUCUUCUUGUUGCCGCAUCCUAUCCAUACCCCUUCAAUUGACAAUCUUAUCAUCUAAUUAUGGUAGCACGCCUCUUCACGUAUGGAUAGGUUAAAAUGUUUGACGAGUACACAAUGUUAUGUUUAAAAGCUGACGAUGUUUAAACCCUAAAAAGAUAUCUACUCUAACAAAAAUUAAUGUUCUCGUUUCAAAGUUUACAUGAUCCUAUGUUGAGUUUCUAAUAAUCGCACAAAUUUGAAAGGGGCCUCUCUAAUUUACUUUUAUCGUUUCAGCCUUAUAGUUUCCUCAAAAUUUUCUUUGAAGUAUCCUAUGUAACUUAGGGUUUGGACUAGAAAAGUGUCUCAUAAAUGAUAGUAUUAUAACGCAUAAGAGUUAUCGUUAAUUGUAAACCACAUUAAAUAUAAUAAUGUAUGUAAGUGAGGACACGAGAUAGAAAGUAGAAGAUAAGAUGCAGGUGGGUUUGGGGCCCUAUUGCCAACAACAAUGGCAUACUGAAGUACAAUGACAUUAGAAAAGAAUGAUGUAAAGUUCGUCCUAAUAUAACGUUUUGGGGCGAAGUUUCCUUAAUGUCUUUACAAGUCAUCAUUCUUAUCUUAUCCAUCUCCUCAUUCUUCACCAUUUUUUUUCUUCUACUUUUAUUUUUUGGCUGAAGAGGAUAAUCUUCGAAUUACAAGGUCUUUUAUAUCCAAAAAGAAAUACAAGCUAAUCAUCAAGUUUUUUUUAUGUAUCUUUCAUUAUUUGUUAUUUCAUCUCUCUCUCUCUCUCUCUCUCUCUCUCUCUCUCUCUCUAUCUCUCUCUUUUUAAGCUUUUAUUCUAUUUAAUUCAAAAUUAUUCGCUAUGUGGAUGUGCUAGAAGGUUUCCCGUGAGUAUUUUUUUCUUCUACUUUUAUUUUUUGGCUGAAGAGGAUAAUCUUCAAAUUACAAGGUCUUUUAUAUCCAAAAAGAAAUACAAGCUAAUCAUACAAGUUUUUUUUAUGUAUCUCUCGUUAUUUGUUAUUUCAUCUCUCUCUCUCUCUCUUUUUAAGCUUCUAUUCUAUUUAAUUCAAAAUCAUUCGCUACGUGGACGUGCUAGAAGGUUUUCCGUGAGUAUCUUUUCCUUAUAUAAGAAAUAGUUUGAUAUCUAUUACUUUUCACAUCUCAUAUUUGUCUUUGUAAAUCAUUUCUAGAAGUAAUUAUGCUUUAGAGAAAAUGAGCAACUUGUAGCUACUAAAAAUAAACAAAUUGUUUCUAAAUAUUUAUAUAUACAACCAAAACUUGAAUAUGUAAAUCAAGC